CUGCGGCAGCGACACUGUGUGUUGUUGGGUAGGGGAGCGUUCUGUAAGCCUGCGAAGGUGGCCUGUGAGGGUUGCUGGAGGUAUCAGAAGUGCGAAUGCUGACAUAAGUAACGAUAAAGCGGGUGAAAAGCCCGCUCGCCGGAAGACCAAGGGUUCCUGUCCAACGUUAAUCGGGGCAGGGUGAGUCGACCCCUAAGGCGAGGCCGAAAGGCGUAGUCGAUGGGAAACGGGUUAAUAUUCCCGUACUUGGUGUUACUGCGAAGGGGGGACGGAGAAGGCUAUGUUGGCCGGGCGACGGUUGUCCCGGUUUAAGCGUGUAGGUGUGUGUUCCAGGUAAAUCCGGUUCACUUUAACACUGAGGCGUGACGACGAGGCACUACGGUGCUGAAGCAACAAAUGCCCUGCUUCCAGGAAAAGCCUCUAAGCAUCAGGUAACAUCAAAUCGUACCCCAAACCGACACAGGUGGUCAGGUAGAGAAUACCAAGGCGCUUGAGAGAACUCGGGUGAAGGAACUAGGCAAAAUGGUGCCGUAACUUCGGGAGAAGGCACGCUGACACGUAGGUGAAGUGAUUUACUCAUGGAGCUGAAGUCAGUCGAAGAUACCAGCUGGCUGCAACUGUUUAUUAAAAACACAGCACUGUGCAAACACGAAAGUGGACGUAUACGGUGUGACGCCUGCCCGGUGCCGGAAGGUUAAUUGAUGGGGUCAGCGCAAGCGAAGCUCCUGAUCGAAGCCCCGGUAAACGGCGGCCGUAACUAUAACGGUCCUAAGGUAGCGAAAUUCCUUGUCGGGUAAGUUCCGACCUGCACGAAUGGCGUAAUGAUGGCCAGGCUGUCUCCACCCGAGACUCAGUGAAAUUGAACUCGCUGUGAAGAUGCAGUGUACCCGCGGCAAGACGGAAAGACCCCGUGAACCUUUACUAUAGCUUGACACUGAACAUUGAGCCUUGAUGUGUAGGAUAGGUGGGAGGCUUUGAAGUGUGGACGCCAGUCUGCAUGGAGCCGACCUUGAAAUACCACCCUUUAAUGUUUGAUGUUCUAACGUGGACCCGUUACCCGGGUUGCGGACAGUGUCUGGUGGGUAGUUUGACUGGGGCGGUCUCCUCCUAAAGAGUAACGGAGGAGCACGAAGGUUGGCUAAUCCUGGUCGGACAUCAGGAGGUUAGUGCAAUGGCAUAAGCCAGCUUGACUGCGAGCGUGACGGCGCGAGCAGGUGCGAAAGCAGGUCAUAGUGAUCCGGUGGUUCUGAAUGGAAGGGCCAUCGCUCAACGGAUAAAAGGUACUCCGGGGAUAACAGGCUGAUACCGCCCAAGAGUUCAUAUCGACGGCGGUGUUUGGCACCUCGAUGUCGGCUCAUCACAUCCUGGGGCUGAAGUAGGUCCCAAGGGUAUGGCUGUUCGCCAUUUAAAGUGGUACGCGAGCUGGGUUUAGAACGUCGUGAGACAGUUCGGUCCCUAUCUGCCGUGGGCGCUGGAGAACUGAGGGGGGCUGCUCCUAGUACGAGAGGACCGGAGUGGACGCAUCACUGGUGUUCGGGUUGUCAUGCCAAUGGCACUGCCCGGUAGCUAAAUGCGGAAGAGAUAAGUGCUGAAAGCAUCUAAGCACGAAACUUGCCCCGAGAUGAGUUCUCCCUGAGACUUAAAGUCUCCUGAAGGAACGUUGAAGACGACGACGUUGAUAGGCCGGGUGUGUAAGCGCAGCGAUGCGUUGAGCUAACCGGUACUAAUGA
rnacentral:rRNA from 1 species